AAGUUGUACAGCUAAAUCUCCCCGAAUUAAUACUUCGAGAUCUAUUAACCCAUAUAUCUGGGUUUUAACGGUUUAAUGUACAGCAAUUCAGUUUUAACCAUCUUAAAACAAACUUUAACCAAAACUAAACCAAAAUUAUCAAAAAUUAACCCGAACCGGCCGACCCAUUAACGAUACGACUUCUUCUUCACAUGGAAAUCUUCUUCACCCAUUAACUUUUGCCUCAUGAAAUCAAUGAUCGAUCUUGGACGACGGUGGGAACGACGAAGUUUUCAUGGAGCAACAUGAGAUUUUGUGAAAUUAUUAUUAUGAGAUUAUGGGUUUUCAAAUCUGAAAUGCUUGAUAGAACAAGAAGAAAUUUCAAAGCUUCUCCACUAUGCAUCCAACGACAACUGUUCCGAUUAAUUGGUUAGCAAACGUAGUUAUAGGGGCAGCCAAGCUUUCGUCUGAGAA